GGUUUUGUGGUUGUAGUUGGUUAUCACGUCAGUCUAACACACAAGAAGGUCUCCGGUUCAAGUCCGGACGAAGCCA
rnacentral:tRNA from 1 species